UACGUAGGGUGCGAGCGUUAAUCGGAAUUACUGGGCGUAAAGCGUGCGCAGGCGGUUUUGCAAGCCGGAUGUGAAAGCCCCGGGCUCAACCUGGGAACUGCAUUCGGGACUGCAAGGCUUGAGUACGGCAGAGGGAGGUGGAAUUCCGCGUGUAGCAGUGAAAUGCGUAGAUAUGCGGAGGAACACCGAUGGCGAAGGCAGCCUCCUGGGCCGAUACUGACGCUCAUGCACGAAAGCGUGGGGAGCAAACAGG
rnacentral:rRNA from 1 species